AAGUCUUCGGACUUAGCGGCGGACGGGUGAGUAACGCGUGGGAACAUACCCAAAGGUACGGAAUAGCCUCGGGAAACUGGGAGUAAUACCGUAUGUGCCCUUCGGGGGAAAGAUUUAUCGCCUUUGGAUUGGCCCGCGUUGGAUUAGGUAGUUGGUGGGGUAAUGGCCUACCAAGCCGACGAUCCAUAGCUGGUUUGAGAGGAUGAUCAGCCACACUGGGACUGAGACACGGCCCAGACUCCUACGGGAGGCAGCAGUGGGGAAUCUUAGACAAUGGGCGCAAGCCUGAUCUAGCCAUGCCGCGUGAUCGAUGAAGGCCUUAGGGUUGUAACGAUCUUUCAGCUGGGAAGAUAAUGACGGUACCAGCAGAAGAAGCCCCGGCUAACUCCGUGCCAGCAGCCGCGGUAAUACGGAGGGGGCUAGCGUUGUUCGGAAUUACUGGGCGUAAAGCGCACGUAGGCGGAUCGGAAAGUCAGAGGUGAAAUCCCAGGGCUCAACCUUGGAACUGCCUUUGAAACUCCCGGUCUUGAGUUCGAGAGAGGUGAGUGGAAUUCCGAGUGUAGAGGUGAAAUUCGUAGAUAUUCGGAGGAACACCAGUGGCGAAGGCGGCUCACUGGCUCGAUACUGACG
rnacentral:rRNA from 1 species